rnacentral:lncRNA from 9 species
AUCUCUGGCUUCCUAGGACGCCAAUAAAAACUCUGGACACCUAAGCAAUAAUUCCCAACAGUCUUUUCUUUUUGGCCGAAGAGCGCGGGGAAUAAGACCAGAUGCAAAGGCCUCCUGUCUAGGUGACCGUGUUUGCACGAGGGCUGCUAAGGAUACAGAGCGCGUCAUCCCUGAUGCACUGCACAGCACAUGUUGCUUGGCAAUAGGUGACUCCGCUGGCAUGGCUUCCUCAUGGACACGAGGUGCCAAGAUUGGAGUCGGGGAGACGCCCAAGACACAUCGACACGUUAGGGCAGGUGCGGGUGUCUGCUGUGAAGGAGGCGGCAGAGACAAGGACCCAGAGGGAUGGAAGAAGGCGUUUCUGCUCAGGCACUAGUAUCAACUGAUAUCCCUAUUGAUGUGUUUUCCUUACAAAAUAAUCCAUCCAUUUCUUGAAGAGAAAGGUAAGUGAUAGAUGGCUUAGAUGCAUAAAUAGAUAUGUCAACAUGUGUGUAUAUAUGCAUGGGUGGCUGAAUGGAUGGGUGGAUAGAUUAAUAGGUAGGUAGGUAGGUUGAUUGAUUGAUUGAUGAUUGACAGACUCCCAUAUAUUCUUCUUAUUCUCUAUUAUUUUCAGCAGCUAUAAUUUGAUUCUUGGGAGUUCCUGUUGUGGCUCAGCAGAAACGAAACCUGACUAGUAUCCAUGAGGAUGUGGGUUUGGUCCCUAGCCCGGCUCAGUGGAUUAAGGAUCCAGCGUUGCCGUGAGUGCUGGUAUAGGUCACAGACGCAGCUCGGAUCUGGCAUUGCCAUGGCUGUGGUGUAGGCUGGCAGCUGCAGCUCCAGUUCGACCCCUAGCCUGGUAACCUCCAUAUGCCGGACCUGCAGCCCUAAAAAAAAAAUCAAUCA